rnacentral:rRNA from 1 species
UGUCCUGCCAGUAGUCAUAUGCUUGUCUCAAAGAUUAAGCCAUGCAUGUCUCAGUACAAGCCAUAUUAAGGUGAAACCGCGAAAGGCUCAUUAUAUCAGUUAUGGUUCCUUAGAUCGUACCCACAUUUACUUGGAUAACUGUGGUAAUUCUAGAGCUAAUACAUGCAAACAGAGUUCCAACCAGAGAUGGAAGGAAUGCUUUUAUUAGAUCAAAACCAAUCGAUGUGGCUAUAUGUUUCCUUUGUGGAUUCAUAUUUGUUACAUCGUUAAUUUGGUGACUCUGAAUAACUUUGAGCUGAUCGCACGGUCUUGUACCGGCGACGCAUCUUUCAAAUGUCUGCCUUAUCAACUGUCGAUGGUAGGUUCUGCGCCUACCAUGGUUGUAACGGGUAACGGGGAAUCAGGGUUCGAUUCCGGAGAGGGAGCCUGAGAAACGGCUACCACAUCCAAGGAAGGCAGCAGGCGCGCAAAUUACCCACUCCCGGCACGGGGAGGUAGUGACGAAAAAUAACGAUACGGGACUCAUCCGAGGCCCCGUAAUCGGAAUGAGUACACUUUAAAUCCUUUAACGAAGGAUCCAUUGGAGGGCAAGUCUGGUGCCAGCAGCCGCGGUAAUUCCAGCUCCAAUAGCGUAUAUUAAAGUUGUUGCGGUUAAAAAGCUCGUAGUCGAAUUUGUGUCCCGCACUGUCGGUUCACCGCUCGCGGUGUUCAACUGGCAUGUUAUGUGGGACGUCCUACCGGUGGGUGGUGUAAAUUGUAUGUUGUAUUACUAUAUUUGUUGUGUUAUAUGUUUUGUGUGUGUGCGCGGUCGUGUAUAAUAUCAUAUAUUAUGUGUAUGUGCUAUGUUAUAUGCUGCUGUUGUGUUAUAUGUGUUUAACUGCACAUUAAUGCAGCACACAUAUAUUCAUUCUCAUUUCAUGUGUAUAUAUGUGUAUGUGCAUGCCCCACAUAUGUAUUCACAUAUUUUACACUCUGUAUGGUAAUUUUCAAUUAUAUUAUUUACCGUAAGUGUUUUUCCGUGAAGAACGGCGGCAGCCCCCAAUUGCAAUCCCGUCGCGGUGCUCUUAACUGAGUGUCGAGGUGGGCCGGUACGUUUACUUUGAACAAAUUAGAGUGCUUAAGGCAGGCUCAAAUUUCGCCUGAAUAUUGUGUGCAUGGAAUAAUGGAAUAGGACCUCGGUUCUAUUUUGUUGGUUUUCGGAACUCCGAGGUAAUGAUUAAUACGGACAGAUGGGGGCAUUCGUAUUGCGACGUUAGAGGUGAAAUUCUUGGAUCGUCGCAAGACGGACAGAAGCGAAAGCAUUUGCCAAAAAUGUUUUGAUUGAUCAAGAACGAAAGUUAGAGGUUUCGAAAGCGAUCAGAUACCGCCCUAGUUCUAACCAUAAACGAUGCCAGCUAGCGAACCCCCGAAAGUUCCCUCCGAUGACUCGGCGGGCAGCUUUCCGGGAAACCAAAGCUUUUGGGUUCCGGGGGAAGUAUGGUUGCAAAGCUGAAACUUAAAGGAAUUGACGGAAGGGCACCACCAGGAGUGGAGCCUUGCGGCUUAAUUUGACUCAACACGGGAAACCUCACCAGGCCCGGACACCGGAAGGAUUGACAGAUUGAGAGCUCUUUCUUGAUUCGGUGGGUGGUGGUGCAUGGCCGUUCUUAGUUGGUGGAGCGAUUUGUCUGGUUAAUUCCGAUAACGAACGAGACUCUAGCCUGCUAAAUAGACGUACUUUACCGGCAUCUCAAGGCCCACCGGCUGUUUGUUUUCCGUUACGUUGUUGCAUGUUUUAUAUAUUUAAUGUAUUUUAUGCAUAUAUAUUAUGUAAUAUUGGGGGGUUUAUGUUGUUGUAUAUAUGCUCUCACAUAUAUAUGUUUUGUAUUUACUACUUCGCCUCUAUAUGUGUGCUGGGCCUCUAUAUGCGCCACGUUUACCUCUCUGAGCAUAUGUAUAUUUUGUGUUGUAUGUUUUAUAUUAUCAUGUUUACACGUACGGGCUACAGUUUUUUGGUGUGGUUUUUACUGCCGGCGUACAAAUAAUUCUUCUUAGAGGGACAGGCGGCUUCUAGCCGCACGAGAUUGAGCAAUAACAGGGCUGUGAUGCCCUUAGAUGUUCUGGGCCGCACGCGCGCUACACUGAAGGAAUCAGCGUGUCCUCCCUGGCCGAAAGGUCCGGGUAACCCGCUGAACCUCCUUCGUGCUAGGGAUUGGGGGUUGCAAUUGUUCCCCAUGAACGAGGAAUUCCCCGUAAGCGCGAGUCAUAAGCUCGCGUUGAUUAAGUCCCUGCCCUUUGUACACACCGCCCGUCGCUAAUACCGAUUGAAUGAUUUAGUGAGGUCUUCGGACUGGUACGCGGAAACGUCAAUUACAGAAA